rnacentral:rRNA from 1 species
UACGUAGGUCACAAGCGUUAUCCGGAUUUAUUGGGCGUAAAGCGUCCGCAGGUUGUUUAACAAGUUCAAGGUUCAAUGCUGAAGCUCAACUUCAGUCUGCCUUGAAAACUGUUUGACUAGAGUAUGGGAGAGAGUAGUGGAAUUCCUCAUGUAGCGGUGGAAUGCAUAGAUAUGAGGAGGAACACCAAUAGCGAAGGCAGCUACUUGGCUCAUUACUGACACUCAGGGACGAAAGCGUGGGGAGCAAAUAGG